CUUUCGCUCUUGACGUCUUUCUCCCGCGUGACUGUACUCCCGCAUUUCCCCGGCGACCCUGACCUCACUUUCACCCCAGCUAAGGACUGAAACGUCCCUGCCGUAGGCUGCGGCCCCAGACAAGCUGGGCGAGGUCCCUGCAUCCAACCAUCCCGAUUCCUGAUGCUGGGUUACCUAAGCCUAAAGCAUUUUCAGUUUCCAUCUGUGCCUUUCAGGAACCUCCUGAUUUCUGAUUGCGAGUUGGACAGUGUGGUCCCCGGACCAGCAGCAUUGACAUCACCUGGGAGCUGGUGAGGAAUCCAGACUCUUAGGCCCUGCCGGGACCUGCUGAAUCGGAACCUGCAAUUUACCAAGACCUGUACACACAUUACAUGUGAGAAGCCCCCCCAGAGCUGUUCCACACUUGCUCCACUCCUCUCCCCAACAUUCAGACCCACCUCUGGCUCUCUCAUUUCCAGCAGACACCCUUCCUCUUACCCAGUGGAG
rnacentral:lncRNA from 10 species